rnacentral:rRNA from 1 species
AGGGUUUGAUUAUGGCUCAGGAUGAACGCUAGCGGCAGGCUUAACACAUGCAAGUCGAAGGGCAGCGGGAGGAGUGCUUGCACUCCUUGCCGGCGACUGGCGCACGGGUGAGUAACACGUAUGCAACCUGCCCUCUUCAGGGGGACAACCUUCCGAAAGGGAGGCUAAUCCCGCGUAUAUCUUUUGGAGGCAUCUCCGGAAGAGGAAAGCUUAUGCGGAAGAGGAUGGGCAUGCGGCGCAUUAGCUGGACGGCGGGGUAACGGCCCACCGUGGCGACGAUGCGUAGGGGUUCUGAGAGGAAGGUCCCCCACACUGGUACUGAGACACGGACCAG